AUUUUGAUGUCAGCGCUGAAAAGAAGGCAAUAAAGAAACCUUUUCAGAGGAGCUGAAUGAGAGAACGAAGAAGAAAUGAAUCCCUCUUGGAUGUUGCGACCGGAGAGGCCUUUUUAUUUUCUUUGCUCGGGUAAUCAAAUGGAGCUGAAAUGAAAAUGGAGUUUUCUAUGAAAAUAGGGGCCUUUGUUGGCUUUGGAAGGCUGGUAAUUCAUAAACAAUAAGCUGGCUCCUUUUGUUUGGGUUAUAAUAUAUUCCUGCUGUUCUGAAAGAGGUCCCUCGCUGCACACACAUGCACUCGCACACAUUGCAGCCAGGGUAAAAGCCAAAGUGAGGCAGCAGGGGAAGAGAGAAAGAGGGAGGAUAAAAGGAGGCAGAGAGGCUGACUUUCUAUUCAUCCUCCUGACUGAGAGACGGCAGGAUGCUCAACUCCUCACCUCACUUCCUCCGCUCGGCAACUUUUCCUCUCUGAGCAUUUUGGUUCUUUUAUUCCUACAGGUGAGAAUGGAUCAUUUUUGACAGGUUGUUUUUUCUGAGUGCUUGGAGAGUCCUGAGGGAAGAAGUAAGGACGUGAGGCUGUUGAUGGAUCUUUUUUUUUAAAGGAUGCAGCAUCUGAUUCUUUGGGAAACAAAAAUAUCAACGUGAUUGAAGCAGGAACUGCAAAGCAAACAGAAGAGAGAACUGCACUUCACAUCUUCAAGCGGCAAUUUUUCAACAUCCAUCCAGUGAGGAGCGUGCAUUAAGUGAGAUUUCAAAUCUUCUUGCCUCCUGUGACUGGAAAGUGUCGGGAAAACUUUCCUGAGUUGGAAAAUGCUGAAGAAAGAAGUUCAGGAGUGAUGGGAUGAUGAUAGUUGGUCUUCAUGUUGGAGAGACAGACUGAUGGACAGAGCUUCUUCUUCUUCUCUUAUCCUGAUCAUCUGUCCACGUUGACUGAUCGAGUUGCUCUGCAGUUUUCAUCCUGCGUCUUCCCAUUCCUCUGUCACACAUAAGAAGAACAAGUUACACCAAGACAUCCUGAAGCUGAUAAUCUCACCACCACCAUGUUUGACGAUUUUAACUCUUACUGACUGAAGGAGGAUAUGGAUUCUUCAAGAGAAAACUAAUUUAAUGUGAUCCUCCAUAGUCAGGCUCCCAGGAGGAAACAGGAACACACAGAAUGGAUCAACUCAAGAUUGACUUGGACUUUUUUCAAACUUUUACCAACUAAAUACAUGUUUGUGGACAAAGGAGAGCAUGUUCUUCAACAAUGGUCUAAGAACCUUCUGUCUUUUAAUAGUUUAAAAUUUAGAAAGCUUAGAAAAUGUACAUUUGUUGAAAGAAUUAAGAAGAUAUUAUUUAACCUGCUUAUUAUUAUUAUCAGGAAAGGUGAGUUAAUACAUUAAACAGCAAUGCUCCUUUUUACCCAACUGACUCCAAAAUAUGUUCAAAAAUUAAUUUAAUAUUUAUUUUUGUUAAAACUAGGGCUGUGAGUCCAACAUCAGAAAAACUUUAUUUCUGUUGCUUCUCAAUACUUUUUCAAACCUUGAUGCUGAUGUCAAAUCAUUGUCACCAAACCAGAUUCAUUUUCUAGAUCAAAGAUGGAAAAGUGUUCAUGAACGGGACAUUUUACUGAGAAACUCACUUCAAACUAUUCAUUUGGACUAAUUAUUUUGAGUGUGUUUUGCAAAUAAAUGUUUAUCUCCAUUUAUAUGUUUAACUUUCAACCAAAUAAGCUUUUAUUAACACAUUCCCCUAAUGUUUAGUGGAAAAGUACCACUGCUGGCUUUCAUAACAAUCACUUUCAGUCACAAUCCACCGGCAGCCAGAAAUGAUGGCAGAAAGUGACAGACAGGAGCUAAAACAGGAAUAUGGUGUGACAGAGCUAAAGCCUGUCACAGUGGUGUCCCUUUUUCUGUUCAGGAGUUGCACAAAGCCGUCAGCUCUGAAAGGUCAACCUGCUCUAGACCGCACUGUAAAUGAAGCGACCAGAGUGGCCCUGGAAUCCCAGAUGAAGCUGAUUCUCUUUAUCAUCUGUCAAUUGAUUCUCCUACUAAAUACCUCAACACUGAACACCAGAGACACGUGUGGUAUCCGAGUCUUUCAGAGCAAUCACACAAUGGAGUCCUCUUAACGAGCAACGCGGCAGCUAAGGAG